GAUGAAGAACGCAGCGAAAUGCGAUAAGUAAUGUGAAUUGCAGAAUCCAGUGAAUCAUCGAAUCUUUGAACGCACAUUGCGCCCGCCAGCAUUCUGGCGGGCAUGCCUGUUCGAGCAUCAUUUCAACCCUCGACCUCCCUUUGGGGAAGUCGGCGUUGGGGACCGGCAGCACACCGCCGGCCCUGAAAUGGAGUGGCGGCCCGUCCGCGGCGACCUCUGCGUAGUAAACCAACUCGCACCGGAACCCCGACGUGGCCACGCCGUAAAACACCCAACUUCUGAACGUUGACCUCGAAUCAGGUAGGACUACCCGCUGAACUUAAGCAUAUCAAUAAGCGGAGGA
rnacentral:misc_RNA from 1 species